AAAGGGAGACCUAAUUCAGGUAGGAGACGAAAAAAAAGUAGUCCCUACCAGGAAUCAAUCCCAAAAGGUCGGAGCGAGGCGAAAUUGGCUUUCAAACUAGGUUCUGGGUUCAAACAAGACCUGAAUCAGGAACAAGGGCUAUUAGCUCAGGUGGUUAGAGCGCACCCCUGAUAAGGGUGAGGUCCCUGGUUCGAGUCCAGGAUGGCCCACCUGCACAGGUGGCAAAAACAAGAGAAGCGAGGAAUCAGCACCUUAUCUUACUGACAUAGUAAGAGAGAAUGCUGGCUCUGAGUAAAGAGUCCAGAGGAACCUUGAAAACUGCAUAGAGCUAGGUGAAAAAGCCAAAAAAGAAGACCGCAAG
rnacentral:tRNA from 1 species